rnacentral:tRNA from 1 species
UUCCUGGUGGUCCAGUGGUUACGACUUUGUGCUCCCAAUGCAGGGGGCCCGGGUUCAAUCCCUGGUCAGGGAA